UAAAAUCGUGUUGCAAUAAUAUUCAAUGUUUAUUAUUUCGAGUACCUGUAUAUUAUGAUUCAAAUUUGUAUAGUCGGGGUUAAUCUGCAGGGUUCACAGAAUUACAUUAGAAAUGUUCACUCUGUAUAGUCGUAAACGUAUUUAUAACAAUUUUGGACCAUUCGGUAAAAUCGUGUAAAUAUUGUAGUAAAAUAUAUAUGCGUUAACUUCCGGGUCCUAUACAGUGAGAGUAUGUAUUGAUAACUAUAACCGCCGAUGACAAAAGGGCGAUGUACAAGGUCGCCGUUGACGUAAUCAAACUGCAGAGUAUUGUA